rnacentral:rRNA from 1 species
CACGCCGUAAACGAUGAAUGCCAGCCGUUAGUGGGUUUACUCACUAGUGGCGCAGCUAACGCUUUAAGCAUUCCGCCUGGGGAGUACGGUCGCAAGAUUAAAACUCAAAGGAAUUGACGGGGGCCCGCACAAGCGGUGGAGCAUGUGGUUUAAUUCGACGCAACGCGCAGAACCUUACCAGCCCUUGACAUCCCGGUCGCGGACUCCAGAGACGGAGUUCUUCAGUUCGGCUGGACCGGAGACAGGUGC